rnacentral:lncRNA from 1 species
GAAAAUUUGAAAUUAAGCUCAGAUUUGAUGUUUUGACCAACAAAGAGAAUCAACCACGCCAUGGCUGCAAUUUUGGUUCUCGACAAGGGUAUUUGAGGGAAAAUCAAAACUUUGCCACAAAACAACGACAUCUUCAAGCUUCUGGAUUUGGAGAUUCGAGGUGUUGGAGAGCCAAACAUAGUCUCCAUCUGUCUGAGUAGACCAAAGUACCCUUGUGUGAGGAUCAUAUAAUAUAAGGAUGCCAUUGAAGAAGAGCUCCGUCGAGUGAGCCCAUUUCGGUAAACGUGUCGUUCUGGCAUACCACAGUUGUUUCGAAGACUGGAUGUGGAGAACAGCUAGGUUGAGCUUGUUUUUAUUGACUCGGAGGAAACCCAAUGAGUAAUUUUACCGGUAGAAUCGCUGAGUAAUGGCUUUGGAGAGAGGCAACCACCCAUGAAAUCUCAAUCUCUCCAUAAUCCUCGUUCUUCCCUUCCAAGUUGAUUUCUGUGGGCUACA